AUGGUUAAGUUAGAAAGGGCGCACGGUGGAUGCCUUGGCACUAGGAGCCGAUGAAGGACGGGACGAACACCGAUAUGCUUCGGGGAGCUGUAAGCAAGCUUUGAUCCGGAGAUUUCCGAAUGGGGAAACCCACUGCUCGUAAUGGAGUAGUAUCCAUACUUGAAUACAUAGAGUAUGAGAAGGCAUACCCGGGGAACUGAAACAUCUAAGUACCCGGAGGAAGAGAAAGCAAAUGCGAUUCCCUGAGUAGCGGCGAGCGAAACGGGAACAGCCCAAACCAAGAGGCUUGCCUCUUGGGGUUGUAGGACACUCUAUACGGAGUUACAAAGGAACGAUAUAAGCGAAGAGGUCUGGAAAGGCCCGCCAAAGAAGGUAACAGCCCUGUAACUGAAAUGUUGUUCUCUCCAGAGUGGAUCCUGAGUACGGCGGAACACGUGAAAUUCCGUCGGAAUCCGGGAGGACCAUCUCCCAAGGCUAAAUACUCCCUAGUGACCGAUAGUGAACCAGUACCGUGAGGGAAAGGUGAAAAGCACCCCGGAAGGGGAGUGAAAUAGAUCCUGAAACCGUGUGCCUACAAGUAGUCAGAGCCCGUUAAAGGGUGAUGGCGUGCCUUUUGUAGAAUGAACCGGCGAGUUACGAUCCCGUGCAAGGUUAAGCAGAAGAUGCGGAGCCGCAGCGAAAGCGAGUCUGAAUAGGGCGCAUGAGUACGUGGUCGUAGACCCGAAACCAGGUGAUCUACCCAUGUCCAGGGUGAAGUUCAGGUAACACUGAAUGGAGGCCCGAACCCACGCACGUUGAAAAGUGCGGGGAUGAGGUGUGGGUAGGGGUGAAAUGCCAAUCGAACCUGGAGAUAGCUGGUUCUCUCCGAAAUAGCUUUAGGGCUAGCCUCAAGGUAAGAGUCUCGGAGGUAGAGCACUGAUUGGACUAGGGGCCCCUACCGGGUUACCGAAUUCAGUCAAACUCCGAAUGCCGAUGACUUAUCCUUGGGAGUCAGACUGCGAGUGAUAAGAUCCGUAGUCGAAAGGGAAACAGCCCAGACCGCCAGCUAAGGUCCCAAAGUAUACGUUAAGUGGAAAAGGAUGUGGAGUUGCUUAGACAACCAGGAUGUUGGCUUAGAAGCAGCCACCAUUUAAAGAGUGCGUAAUAGCUCACUGGUCGAGUGACUCUGCGCCGAAAAUGUACCGGGGCUAAACGUAUCACCGAAGCUGCGGACUGUUCUUACGAACAGUGGUAGGAGAGCGUUCUAAGUGCUGUGAAGUCAGACCGGAAG
rnacentral:rRNA from 1 species